CGGGGCGGGGGCGUGGAGGGGGCCGCCCGCGUGGGGUCGGCUGCGGCCCGGCAGAGUUGGCGCGCGAGGGUGUGGAAGCCGAGAGGUGAUCCUGCCGACCGCACCGCGGACGCGUGCGGGACGCUGUCCCCUGUCUACUCCGCGCUCCCAGGUGCCCGUGAUGAAUGACACAUCGAUCAACCCAUAGUCUUCAGACAUUGCCGUGUGAAGCCAAUGAAAGAUAUCUGCUGGUAACCAAAUGAUGAUCUUAUGAAAAGACCGCGGGGACUAUGAGCUAUCCUGGGGUUCCACGUGCCAGAGACAUGAAGAAAGCAGAGCGGUCCCAGAGAAAAGUGACCGUGGAGGAGGAGCUUCCGCCAGAAGCGAGGGAAUAGGGGAAGAACUGUUGAGAUCUAGAGAAGCAGUGGCCCGAGUUAACGGCAGAGCAAAUGGACCCAGUGUACCCUUGUGAGCUGACAAACGGCAGCCUUGAGCUCUUGAGUGAAACAUGAUGGCAUUUCCUGAAUGCUGACUGUAGGAGAAGCCUGAAAGGGCAGGCAGACCACGCGGGUCCACCGCCUUAGAGCUGUGGACGGUCUUUGUACCUCAUUGAGCCUCAGUGUCUUCCUCUGCAAAAUCACCCUGCCAUUUGGGGAGUAAGCUGAGAUACUCUAGUAAAUGUGCCUGAGAGUCCACGGUUGUCCAGAGAAUGUUCAUCGAUUCACUUUUUCAUUGGUUUCUUCUCAAUCAGCAAGGCAGAAGCACUGAUCCUCGUCCAGUCUCCAGAAGCCUUUGCUGUUUGUCUGCCUUUGUAGAUAGUCUUUUUCUUUUUUUCUUCUGAACAGAGAAAGAGCGCAAGCAGAGGAGAGGGGAGGAGAGAGAGAAUCUUAAGCAGGCUCCAUGCUCAGCGCAGACUGCAACGUGGGGCUCGAUCCUAUGACACUGGGAUCAUGACCUGAGCCCAAAUCAAGAGUCAGACACUUGAGGCACCUGGGUGGCUCAGUCAUUUAAGCCUCUGGCUCUUGAUUUGGGCUCAGGUCAUGAUCUCAUGGUUUGUGGGAUCGAGUCCUGCAUCAGGCCCAGUGCUAACAGCAUGGAGCCUGCUUGGGAUUCUGUCUUUCCCUCUCUUUCUCUUCCCCUCCUCUACUCGUGUUCUCUCUCAAAAUAAAUAAAUAAACAUUAAAAAAAAAAAAAAAAACACUCAACCCACAGAGCCACCCAGGCAUCCCUGCCUUUGUAGCCAUUCUGAGCACCAAGAAUCAUUUUCACGGGGGUGUUAGAAUAAAACUGUGGGCGGGACCCUGAGGAAGAAACCCUACCAGAGCCAUAGUUCCACUUGCCGGGCCUGGGAGAUCCCACCCCGCCCCUAGUCUGGGCAGGCUCAGAAGCGGGGAGCUUGCUUGUGAGUCUUCUGGGCUAAGGGGAGAUCGAUGUGCAAAGUUCUCUAGCCUCUCUCCAGUGCUACUACCUCAAGGCUGUCGAUGUUACGUGGUAGCCGAGAGCUGGGUUCAUGCCCUACUCCACCACUGGCUGUCCACACGGACCCGCACAACCACGCAUAGCCGAAAUCUACGCAUCGAGCUCUGCUACCCGCCGGCCACCAUGCUGGGUGCUGGGAGACUGUGGGGAACAAAAAUCAAGGUUUCUGUCCUCACAGACCCCAUGGCCGGGCUUAACUGCUCUUAGCCUCAGUUUUCUCGUUUGUAAUUUUUUUUAAUGUUUUAUAUUUGAGAGAGAGAAAGAGAGGGAGAAUAGGAGUAGGGGAGGGGCAGAGAGAGAGAGAGAGGGAGACACAGAAUCCGAAGCAGGCUUUAGCCUCUGAGCUGUCAGCACAGAGCCCGACAGGGGGCUUGAACCCUUCGAGCUGUGAGAUCAUGACCUGAGCCAAAGUUGGACACUUAACCGACCGAACCCUCCAGGCACCCCUCAGUUUUCUCAUUUGUAAAAUGGGAAUAAUACCUAUCUCAUAACUUUGCUAUACGACUAAAUGAGGUGACAGCCAAGGAGCUGAGGACAGCGCCUGUCACACAGCAGUUACCAUGUUUUGACAUGAUAGCUCUGGUUAUUUAUUACAACUCUGAACACUGCUGUGUUUGUUUUCCAGGCACAAGAGUCAUACCUAUCAGUAUCUAAUGAUUAGAUCUGUGUUAUGGGGAAAAAAACCCUAAAAAUGUGACUAUGUUUACAUGUAUUUAAAUAAAUGAAGGAAAAAUGGCAAAUAAAAUGGUGGAAUUAAAGGGGAAAAGAGAGAGCCUAUUAUGCCUUGGAAUUAUUUGAGUUGUUUAAACAAUUAUGCA